AUGGAGAGACUUGUUAAUGUUCAUUACAUGGACAAGGAGAAAUUCUUGAGUAACAAUGCCGACACGGGUGAGGAACCAUUGGUUUUUGAUGCAAGCCCUAGCUAUGAGGAUGUUGUUGCAAAAGUGAGACAAGCCUUAAAGUGGAUGGACACCAAUGUUGAUGUUAAGUUAAUAGGAAGGUAUGAUGUUGGAGUUGGAGCCAAAUCUCGCUUGAAAAGUAUGCCUAUCACCUCGGAUUUGCAUUGGGAUGUAUACAAGGAAAAAGUUUCCCAAUCGGAAGACAAGUCACUUGAAUUGUUUGCCACCAAGGUUGAAUCUCCUCGGUUUACACUUGAUUUGAACCGGCAUGUCUCUUCCCCAAUGGAUGACAUGAGCGUUGAGUUGUAUGCCCCCAAUGCUUCUAGCCAACCACCAACUAGCCAA
rnacentral:rRNA from 1 species